rnacentral:misc_RNA from 1 species
AAGUCGUAACAAGGUUUCCGUAGGUGAACCUGCGGAAGGAUCAUUAACACGUUUCCAAACGUUUAAUACUACCAAACAACUGCGUGAACCUGUCUUCUCCCUACCAUCUUCUAUGCGUCUCUGCAUUAACACUCACUGUGGAUCGAUUGUGCGUAUCUCGGUACGACUUCGGAGUGGCAUUGACUAGCAGGCCGUUGAGCCAGCACAUAGAGUUUGAUUAGGCUAUUUUUUAUUCCACAGCUAUAUUUACCCCAUUCUUAACCGUCGGCUAGGGCUUCGGCCUCGACGUGCUAUUUGACUAAUGCUAACCUAUGUUGGGCAUUGAGCUUUCGGGCGAUGUGUUCCAGCCUUAGGUUGAGUUAUGUAUAUAACAAAGCACAACUCUUAGCAACGGAUAUCUUGGUUCUC